UUGCAUCAUAUUCACUAUUUUCUACAUAGUUUUUUUAUAUGGUCUGGCCAUCCAUGGCUAUAAGAAGAGAAAGCACAAACCUAUUUGGAUCCGCGACGUCUCUUCUUCGCAACCUUCAUUUCUCCCUUGGAUGUUUAUUCUUGAAGACAUGGAGGUCUCCAAGAUCAAGAUGCAAGGCUUGUGCUUGCUGCUGCUCAUGCCACUCCUAUUGCUUCCUGGAUCUGCACACAAUACUUGCCAGUGGUUCAGCAAGACCUACACUACUUUCCGCUGCGAGGACAAGCCAUGCGCUGAGCACUGCCGCAAGGAGGGCUUCCCUACCGGGUGGUGUGAUCCCGUCGCCUUAGAACCUCCCACGCUAAUGUGCUUCUGCAGGAAACCCUGCUGAUGAUGAUUGUGGAGUAAUAAUACGGUUGUGUGUUUAUAAGAAAGUAUACAUGUGAACUUCCAUGUCGUAUCAGCCGUGACCUAAGUCAAUAAUAAAGGUGAAAUUCAAAUA